GGGCCUAUAGCUCAGUUGGUUAGAGCACUUGACUCAUAAUCAAGGGGUCCCUGGUUCGAGCCCAGGUGGGCCCACCA
rnacentral:tRNA from 1 species